GGGAUCUGCCCGAUAGAGGGGGAUAACCACUGGAAACGGUGGCUAAUACCGCAUAACGUCGCAAGACCAAAGAGGGGGACCUUCGGGCCUCUCACUAUCGGAUGAACCCAGAUGGGAUUAGCUAGUAGGCGGGGUAAUGGCCCACCUAGGCGACGAUCCCUAGCUGGUCUGAGAGGAUGACCAGCCACACUGGAACUGAGACACGGUCCAGACUCCUACGGGAGGCAGCAGUGGGGAAUAUUGCACAAUGGGCGCAAGCCUGAUGCAGCCAUGCCGCGUGUAUGAAGAAGGCCUUCGGGUUGUAAAGUACUUUCAGCGGGGAGGAAGGCGAUGGGGUUAAUAACCGCGUCGAUUGACGUUACCCGCAGAAGAAGCACCGGCUAACUCCGUGCCAGCAGCCGCGGUAAUACGGAGGGUGCAAGCGUUAAUCGGAAUUACUGGGCGUAAAGCGCACGCAGGCGGUCUGUUAAGUCAGAUGUGAAAUCCC
rnacentral:rRNA from 1 species